UUAUUAUUAUUUAUAUUAUUAUUAUUAUUAUUAUUUUGGUUUAAAUAAAUAUUAUUUAAUUUAAUUUCACACAGUAUUAUUAAAAAUAACAAUUUAUUUAUUUGUACAACACAAAAAUUAUUUAGAGUUGAUAACAAUUUUUUUUUUAAGUUAUUUAAAUUCUGUAUUUUAAUAUUUAUAUAUAAUUCUACUGAGUUUUUUACAUCUUCUAAAAAAUUUAAAACAAAUGAGUCAUUAUUGUUAUUAUAUAUUUUAUAAUAAUAACAUUCAUUUUGUCUUUUUUUUUGUUGAACAAAUUUUAAAUCUUUUUCAAUAGUUUUAUAAUUAAAAUAAAUAGAUUUUUUUUUUCCUUUUUUUUCCUCUUUUUUUUCUACUGUUUUCUUAUUUGUGCAUGUGCUUUUAUAUACAUUUUUAUUUUUAUUUCUAUUUUUCUCCUCAAUACAAUUUUCUAUAAUGUUACCUUUAUUAUGUUUAUAAAACAAAUGGAAUUUUAACCAAUUUAGUUCUAAUUUUCUAUAAUAUAACUCUAUAUGCUUAAUUAAUUUUAUAUAUUCAUUAUAAUGUUCUAUAAAAAGUGAUUUUAAUUCAUUUAAAUCUGCUAACCUGACUUGUUCAUACAUUUUGUUCCACAUUUAUCUUGUUUGUAUGUUAAAAAAAAAAAAAAAAAAAAAAAAAAAAAAAAAAAAAAAAAAAAAAAAAAAAAAAAAACUCAACAUUUUAAUUUAUUUGAAAUAUUUAUGCAUAUAUAACAAUGCAUUUAUAUGUUUAUCAAUUUUUUUUACAAGAUGCAUAUAUAACGUAAACAGUUAUGCAUACAUACAUAUAUAUAUACAUAUAUACAUAUAUAUAUAUAUAUAUAUAUAUAUAUAUUUUUUUUUUUUUUUUUUCUUAAUAAUUUUUUAUACUUUAAUUUUAUACUUUACAUUUGUGCUGAAAAAUAAAUAAUGUUUACUUUUUUUUUUUUUUUUUGUUUUUAAAAAACAUUUUUUAUAGAAAACUAAAAAAUUAACCUUAAUAAUUUUAUU
rnacentral:lncRNA from 1 species